rnacentral:rRNA from 1 species
UGGUUUUUGCAUAAUCUCCGCCGGGCUAUUGCACAUCCCAAUGGGUUGGUCAUUCAUACAGAUGCCUGCAAAGGUUUAGAAGUGGCCGUGGACAAUGUGUUCCCUGGAGUAGAGCAUAGGGAAUGCAUGCGUCACCUUGCUGCAAAUUUCAUGAAGAAAUUCAAAGGAAAGGUGUAUACCGACAAUUUAUGGCCAGCAUCUUUGACAUGCAGUGUGAAGAAGCACAACUACCACUUGAGGCAGUUAUACAUGAAUCUCAAAGUGAAAGAAUACUUGGAAACACACCACUCCAAGUUAUGGGCCAGAAGCCAAUUCAGUGAAGUGAGCAAAGUUGACUAUGUGCACAAUAAUCUAGCAGAGUCUUUCAACUCAACAAUCCGGAAA